rnacentral:rRNA from 1 species
CCUUUUCCAAGAGUUAUGAUUCUGGCUCAGGAUGAACGCUAGCGGCAGCCCUAACACAUGCAAGUCGAGGGGCAGCACGUCUUCGGAUGGUGGCGACCGGCGCACGGGUGCGUAACGCGUAUGCGACCUACCUCUUACAGGGGGAUAGCCCAGAGAAAAUUUGGAUUAAUACCCCAUGGCAUCCCGCCACCGCAUGGUGCGCGGGAUUAAAGAUUCAUCGGUAAGAGAUGGGCAUGCGUCCUAUUAGCUAGUUGGUGCGGUAACGGCGCACCAAGGCUACGAUAGGUAGGGGCCCUGAGAGGGGGAUCCCCCACACUGGUACUGAGACACGGACCAGACUCCUACGGGAGGCAGCAGUGAGGAAUAUUGGACAAUGGGCGAGAGCCUGAUCCAGCCAUGCCGCGUGCAGGAAGACUGCCCUAUGGGUUGUAAACUGCUUUUGUACGGGAAGAACCCCGCCCACGUGUGGGCGGCUGACGGUACCGUAAGAAUAAGGAUCGGCUAACUCCGUGCCAGCAGCCGCGGUAAUACGGAGGAUCCGAGCGUUAUCCGGAAUCAUUGGGUUUAAAGGGUCCGUAGGUGGACCAUUAAGUCAGGGGUGAAAGUCUGCGGCUCAACCGUAGAACUGCCCUUGAUACUGGUGGUCUUGAGUCGUUGUGAAGUGGUUGGAAUAUGUGGUGUAGCGGUGAAAUGCAUAGAUAUCACAUAGAACACCGAUUGCGAAGGCAGAUCACUAACAACGUACUGACACUGAUGGACGAAAGCGUGGGGAGCGAACAGGAUUAGAUACCCUGGUAGUCCACGCCGUAAACGAUGGUCACUAGCUGUCCGGGGGCGACCUUGUGCGUCCAAGCCAAACAAUAACUACAGCCUAGAGAGCAGUGGGGGA